GUCACGGGUUAGUCGUCGGUAACGUAUCUUCUUAUCCUUGUACUUCCGUUUAGUUACGCUAAUGGAUUUUUUAAUUUAUUAAUAUAAAAAUAAAUUUUUUUGAAAACAAGUAAAAAUAUUUAAACGAUUAUCAAUGAAUGAUCAAUAUAUUUGUUGUAGUGGUCGCAGAGCUUGAAAACAAAAAAUGGCAAGUACAUAUUAUUAAUAUUUUUCAUAAUAUUCAGAGAAAACAAAUUAAUUUCUUUAAUAUAAUAUCAAUACAUAAUAUUUCAAGGAUAUUUUGAAGUUUAUUUAUUUAAAAUUAUACUUGUAAUAUAUUUUUAAAUUUUAAUUAUUCUAAUUUAAAAAUUCAAUAAAAUUAUAGAUAAAUCUAAUUAUUCACUCUGUAGAUAAAUUGCAUAGUUAUAGAUAAUUAUUUUUAUUUUAGUAAUAUUUAUUAUUGUAUAAUUUUCUGUUAAAUUUGUAUUAUUUUUCACAAUAAUAAUGAUAAAAUUAUUAUUAAUAUUUGUAGUUUUUAAUAAAUUUGAAUUGGGUAAAAUUGAUCAAUUCAUACACAUUAUUUUUUCUUAAAAUGUUUGUUUGUUAUAUAUUUUGUUUUCAAGUUUUUUUCAUCAAAAUUCUUCUGGAUCAAUUAAUCUUCAAAUGGACUAAUAAAAACCAAUAUUUCUGUUUAAUUAAUCUUCAUUAAUAAAGGGUUAGAUACUUAUAUUUAAGCAUGUUAUUCUAAUGUUUUUAUGAUUAAAUACAAUGUGAAUGCAUUAGAUAUACCUUUAAGUAACGAUUUGUAAUUUAAUCAAAACGUACAAUAUGAUCACGAUUAAAUUAUGAAAUUAUUUUUGAAAAUUGUUGUCAUCAAUAUUGUGAAAACGUUUAUUUUUGGCAUCUGUUCAAUAUUUUUUUUUCAAAUAUAUAAUACUUUCUAGCGAAAGUAAUAAUUGUAAAAGAGCAACACUACGAAUUGAAAUGGAACAAAGGUCGAGGAUUUGAAUGAAAUCCCCCAGAGUAUUGUCGGUGUACAUGUCUAUUAUUGUUUAGCCUCAACAACGGGACCGGCCUUUAAAGGUUGACCCCUGCAGUCAUUGCCAAAGCUAUUAAAACUAAAAAAAGGAUUGGAAAUUUUACAAUUUCACUUUAAACGUAUGUGUGUGUAUGCGUGAACGACACAUAAUAGGUAAUUUAUUUUUAGGCAAGAGGUUUCAAAAAAAAAAAAUAAUACCAAAAGCUCUUAGCAUUGGCUCAAUUGGUUCAAAAAACUAGCUGAACUAAAAAAGCUUUUCAUUCUUCCUUUGGAAAUACCUAUCACGAGUUUCAGACGGGUUGUUCAUCAAUUUUACCGAAAUGUAUUGAUCAUUUUCAAUAAGUACAGGUACUUACUCUAUUGAUGGCAAAAAACAUUUUUUUGUCAGUUUCCAAUUAUUAUUGUUUAGAACAGGGAUUGGCAACCCGCGAACCAAUUUUUUGUGGCCCGCAAAAAGAUUUUAAAUUUCAAUGAUGUUUCAGUCAUAUUUUAAUAUUACUUAUAAUCUAGUUCAAUUAACUUGAUAAAUUAUAGUAUAAUAUGAAUUUAUGAUGUGAAUCGUUAAAUGUAGAAAGGGAACAUUUUAAAAUAUUUAAAAAUACUAACACUAACAUAAAUCAAAUUUAAUGUUAAUGACUAAUAUUAUAGUAUUAGACAUCACCCUAAAACUUAUAUAGAACUUGGAUGUUUAUGGAGUUUUUUACAUGAAAAAUUAAAAAAUUUGACCAUUCGUCCUUUCUGCAUUUAGCGAUUCAUAAAAUUGGAUUGGAUACAAUAUACAGGGUGUUUCAAAUUUCAUGUUACAUUCAAAUUUUCUAUGAAGUACUUAUGUUUUUAAAAAAAAAUUAUUUAAAUGCCUUGAACUGUGAUUCAUUACUCUCUUCUACCCUAAUUUAUAAGUGAAAAAAAAUUUCUUCGAAAUCUUGAAAUAUAAAAUAAAUGAUAUUUGACUGAAUUAAACAUUUCAACAUCAAAAUAAACUGAAAUAAAAAUUUAUUUAUUUUUGUAAUUUGUAAUAUUGGUUGAAAAUAAAAAUUAGGCAAUGGUUUCACCCAAAAAAUAAAUUUGAAAAAAAUAUGGAUAAUGUCAAAUUUUAAAAUAUCUAUAAUCUACAUAUUUUUAAAAGUUUUUAAAUAAGUUAUUUUUUCAAAAAAUAAGUAUUUCAUGGAACAUUUUACUAUGACCCUGCGUAUAGCCCAUGCAUGAUAAAACUUUUAUACGUUAUAUAAUAUAUGUAUAUCUUAAUGAUGAACAUUUACAUGGUGUAUUACACAUCUAAAUCACUAGUUUGGAAGCUUAUAUCACAAAUUAACACAUUAAUGUCAACAACAAAAAUCACAUUAAUUUACUAAUUUAAAUAAAUUAUAUUUUUAAAAUUAUUUGUAUUGAUAUUAAAUGAACGACAUAAAUUCAGACCUGUUUAUUGUACACUUAUUUGACCUAAUACUUUGGUAAGAUUGGGUGAACGUAUAUUAACAUUAUGUUUGUAUCUAGUGUUGUGCUCAUGAUCUAACAGAUGAAUUAGAUUUUACAUUUGAAAAUUGUGCUUAAAUAAUAUUUUUUCCCAAAUUAUUAUUAUUUUUUUAAAUUUAACACUUAAACGCAUGAUGUUCACUUACUCAAACUUAAUUAACACAACUCUAAUGUCUAAAACCAUACUAUGAUUUUGAAUAGUGAUAGAAUUGUUAGAAUUAUAUUAUAUGUAAAAAUGAUUUUUUAGCUUAUGUGUCCAAACUGAAAAAAAAAACAAUGUGGACCACUUAAUUGAAACGGUUGCCUGGUUUAGAGUAAUAUCGAAACAUUAGCCGUUCUAAUUGUACUUGGUUGUAGGUAUAUUUUGUUGACUUGGAUUUAAGUUUUGAAUACGAAAACGAAUUUAAUAAUGUAUGGUAGGUAUAUUAUUUUAACGAAUGAAAUAAUCUUAUAAUUUUGAUACGUUUGUGAAUAUCUACAGCCUAACUGAACCUUCAAAAAAAAAAUUAAUCGAAAUAAUCCUUCUUUGAUAUAAUAAAAGCAAUUAUAUUAUGUACAAUGGAAAUGUAAUGUGAUAUUGUUAUCAUCAAAUUAAUAAUAAAUGUUCCUUAUAAAGAAUCGAUGUAUUUUGUAAUUAUGUCUAGAAAAAUAUACAGAUACAGAUACGUUUAAUAAUAUUGCUUUAUAUCAUUUGUAUUGAUGCUCUUAUGGUUAUCUUUUCCGUUUUACAAAAGUAGCAUUAGAUAAUAUACUUAUCCGAUUAUAUUAAGUCUUUAAUAUUGAAUUCAUCAAGAUAUAUUUUUGUUAUAUCUAUAUAAGGUACUUAUACCUAAAUUUAAUACAAUACGGAUAGAGUCCAAACAAUAUGUAAUAUUAUACACUAAAGAAUGUAUACAUUUUUGCAUUAAACAUACUAAAUUAAGGUUUUAUUAUAAUUAACAUUUAUUUACCCUGGAAUUUGGUAUAGCUAGUGAUAUGUGGUGGGCAACUGUAUUCAUUCGUCUUGGUGGUACUGCACGUUAUGUGCCAUAAUUCUAUAUUUACAUGGAAACUGUUGAUCCCCCAAACGUCGAAAAUACAAAUUUAAGUCCUAACCCGAAGUUAUUCGGUAUUAUCAUUCCGAAAUUUAGGUAUCUACUUAUCACUUUAGUUUCCAUCGGAAACGAGUGAAUGGUAUUUACUUUUCUUUUCAUUGCCUGCAAUAUUUUCUAUACCAAUAUUAAAUUAUAUUAUAUUAUAAACUUUACGCUUCUUGCAUUACAUAGGAAUAUGUUUGCACCAAUAAAUUAUUUUAUAAUAAAUGAAAUGAGACGCCACGAUUGUUUAUUAUAAGUGUUAAAAUGUCAAUAAUAUUUUAUUUAUUAAGUUUAAAAAAUACAAAUCUAUGUUUUUAAAAACCUAGUUUACAUUAUUUCUAUAAGUUAUUUUUAUAUAUGAUUCUUUUUGUACCUAUGUAUAUUUUACUACUAAUGAUAAUAGACUCCUAGAUUAAUUUUUAAUUAACAUAGACGACACUAUUCCUACAAACCGUAUACAAAUCUUAACGCACUUCUUUGAGUAUGGAUGUAGGUACUUUUAGAACAGAUGGUAGAUGCACGAUGUAUUAACUAUAAGUAAAAUAAUAAUUGUAAAAUACAAUGAACUCAUAAAUCAUAGCUUAUUGCGUUAUACCUUUAUUGGGUUAAAAACGAUCGUUUUUGUUUUUCUUUUAAAAAAAAAUAAAUGUAUAAUCUUAAUUAAAAUUAUUGUUCUUUGAAAAAAUAUAUUGAAAAUAAAGUUAACUAAAGAAAUUCCAAAUUAAUAGGUUUAAUUUUAUUGUAUCGGAAAAAUAAUUAAAUGAUAUGGGAAAUUUAUAAAAAGAAGAAAUUAUUGUUUAGUUCAGAAAUAUUUUGAAGUAGGUAAUGAGAGUUUUAUGUUAGUUUAAUAAAGCCAUUAGUAUAAUUUUUGUUUGUACAUACAUUUUUUUAGUUCAUGUAUAAACUGUACUAUAUUUAUAUAGGCUUAAGGAUUAUAGCUAAAAGCAUAUUUUCAAAUUAUAGUUUACGACGUAUUACAUUUACUUUAUUAUACGCAUAUAAAUAAAGUGAAUUUUUCGAGAUUUUUUAAUAUAAUAUAUCAAUAUACCUAUUAUGUUUUCUUAAAUCAUAGAUUUAUCAACAUUCUUUUAUCAUAAAAAGAAACGUAAAAUUUAUUUGGUUAUUGUGUUUAAAAAUAGUAUUUAAUAAAAAUUAGGUGUAAUUUAAACCAAAAUAACUAAAUAAAACUUAGAUAAUUGAUUUUUAAUUAUUUAUUCCUCUCAAUUUUUAUCUUUUAACUUUAUAUUAAAGAUUAUUAAAAAUCUAUUUAGUAAACAGAUAAAUGUAUUAUUGGCCUGUUUUCAUUAUUUAUUUGUGUUAUAUUUAUUAUAUGUUUUACUAUUUUGAUUAUUAUUAUUUAUAAUACUGUUGGAUACAGGGGUGGAUCUAGGCCAAGAUAACGGAGGGGGAGGGAGUGAUUUUUAAAAUUAGUAUAAGGCACAUAUUUAUAAUUAAAAUCAAGCUACGAGUAUUGAGAGGAGUACGGAGAGGGAUGAUUACUCCUAUCGUCUCCCCCUGGAUCCGCCAUUGUUGAACACAGGCAUAGGAAAUAUAUUUAGUAAUAAUCAUACAAUAUGUUAUAAAAAGUACCGAAAGUACUGACAAAGAAAGUUUGGUCAUUUUUUUUUAAAGUAGGUAAGUACCUAGGUAUCUAGGUAAUACAUUUGUUUGAAUAAAAAAUGAAACCAAAUGAAAAAUCGAUUAAAACUUUUUUUAUAGUAUACAGAGUGUAACAGGACUAUUUGUUUAGUUACACUCUGUAUAUGGUCCAAAAGAUUAGUGGUUAUAAAAUCGUCUUAACUUAAAUAUCAUUGAUUGUGAAUAGAACAAAUAAUAUGUAGGUAUAUUAUUAAACCUUAAAAACACCAAGCUAGUGUUUGGUAUAAAUUGAUUUAAAUAAUUAUAUUCAACAUUCGUUCAUAAAUCGUCUUAGGGUAAUUAUUGAAAAUCAGCCAAGUUAAUGAAUACAUGAUAUUUUGUUUUAUUCUAAGAUUAGUUAAUUACCUACCUAACUUACUAGAAUUAUUUACUACCUAGUAUUAAAAUAGCCCUAGAGUUUAAUAUGAAUAAAUAGUUUAAUUAACUUGAGACACCUAAGACGUACUAUAAAAUAAACUGUACAAGAAUGUGUUAUUUAAAAUGUUGAACCCAAUCACCCUUAUAGUCUUGUGCUAAUAAUUACUGUACACAUUUUAUCGAUACAAUGGUUAUUAUUUUUGGAGUACAAGUUGUAACGUUUUGGGGUUUUAACGAUUCGACAGUCUGACUAAAAGAUCACUAUAUUGAAUACGCUUAAUUAAAUGUAUUGUUUAUAUCUUUGAAAUAUAGUUUAAACUAUAAAACUAUUAUUAAUAAAUGUUUAUAAUAUGUAUGAAUGUUUAAUAUUUUAAAUAAUUUUUCGAUAUUCCUAAUUUAAGUGUGUGGCACCCUGGUUACUAAUCUUUGAUUUACAUAAACGUUUUCGUAUAGAAUCCGUAACUUCUGAGGUUUAUUUAACUACGACUUGGAGUAAUAAUUAAAUAGUGAAAUCUGCAUAAUAAUUUCCAAAACAGUGAAGGUAGUGGACCUUGAUACAUAAAAUUCCAAAGUUAUUGUUGAUCUACAGCUACGCAGUAUUUGACGUCACGCUGUAUCGUUUUAUCAUCAAUUAUGUAUCUAUACUUAUAUUUUAAUAUUGUUUUAAAUCGAUUUCGAGCAAGUAUGUGAAUAGUGUAUACUGUAUAGCGAUAAAAUGUUGAAUUUUAUUUUAUAUAACAAAUAUUACAUAGGUAUUAUUAAAAUAUAUUUUUACCAGAAAAUAUUUUUUAAAACGAUAAAAUGAAUCAAAAAUGUUUUUUAAUAUUUCUUUUAUAAGACGGACAUUUAAUAGAUAAUAAAGAGAAAAUUUUCCUUUUAAAAAAUAGAAGAUAGUUUUUGAGAAAAUAGUGAAUACAAAAUGUGUUCGAAUUUCAAGAGUGACUACAUUAGGUGUGGACAUUUUUCUUCAAUACAUAAUAUAAAUUAUUAGAUAGGUAUAUUUUACUAAAAUUCAAAAUAUUAUUUUUAAAUAUUAUUAAACUUUUGAAAAGUUAAAAUUAAUUAUUAUUAAAAUAUUUAAAAAGUAUUCAUCGUAAAAUCAGAUUAAUUCGUUAAAUUUUUAACGAUUUAUAUUAAUAUUUUUUUGUUACUUUUUGUAAAAUGUUCCUAUAAUAAUUUAUAAUAAUUUUAGCGUAUAAACGGUAUUUAACAUUAUUAUUAAAAUAACCUACACAUUGACCCAGUUUUGAUGAUCAAGUGACCUAAAAUUAGAUCGAAUUUUGCUGUUUGAACUAUAUACAAUUUGCCGCUCAAAAAUUGGUUGACUUAAAAAGAUUUAAGUACUUCUGUAUAAAAAAAAAACAAAUUUACAAGCAUAAAAGUAUAAAAUAAAAAUAUAUAUAAGUUAAAACUAAUAGCUUUAUCGCUCCGCUUGCAAUUUGAAACAAUUUCCUUUGUACAAUGAUACGAUAUUUUAUUUUUUAUUUCCUUUUUUAUUUAGAAAUAAUAUACCUAUACUUAUGAUAGGUAUAUAGUAUUACAUAAGUUUAAUUUAAAAAAAAUCUUUCUGACGUUUUUAUGAUUUUAUUAGGUAUCUAUAAUAUUUUAUAUAGUAGAUUUUAAAACCUACAACCUACAGUUACAUACAUUGCAUUUGAACGAAUUUUCUAUUCGUUAUCUGGUCAUUAGACGAACACCGCAUAGCUAUUAUAUUAUACAGCAAUCAAAUUAUUAAUAAUAUCUGUUAUAACGAAAAAUUUCGUAUUUUGAUUCACGCUGCAUCUUUAACGUCGUUUCUUUUUCUCAGCAUUGCCCAUCACGAAAAAUAUCGUAUUGAUCGUCUAAAGAGAUUAGAUUAAUAAGUUAGAAAAAGGAAAAAUUACCUUGUUUGUUGCAGCAGUCGAAAAUAUUUUUGGACGUAAGAGCAUAUUGUUCCACUUAAGAUUUAUAGCGGAUAACCAACUGAUUUGCUUUUUUUUAUGUUUAAUGACAAUUGUCAAAAGUUAAUUUAAACAAAUGUACCUGCACUUAUGUAUAGGUAUAUGAUCAUACAUACUUAAGUUUUGACCUAAAUUUUAAAAAUCUAUUUUAUUAUUCUUAUUUUUAUUAAGUUUUGUUUUAUUUGUUGUAAUCCACAUUUUUAUGUAUUUUAAACGUCAUUAUUCGUCACGACUUUGGCAAUGGUAUAAGCAGGGCCGGAAUGACGAAUACACGCAAUGCUAUAUAUGCGUGGUGGAGUUUAGUUGAUAAAAAAAAAUAAUAAUACAAAACGAGUGGCCUUUUGACUUAACAUUAUACAAAAGGACAGAGAAAGACUAAAACCCUGGGUAUUUUAUUGGAUUCAUCCAUAUAUAAUAAUAUAAAAACGGUGGAAACGACAUUAUUAUUAUUAUUUUGUUACCUGCAGUUUAUAAUGUGCGUCAGUCUUGUUUUAUCAGCAGUUUUAUAGAGUGUUCGUUAUUAUUAUGUUUAUUUUUUGAUGCGAUAUUACCAUAUUCAUUUUUACACUUCUGCAGUAGUUUUACUUAUCCAGCAUUCAGCAAUAAUGUCUUAAUUCCUCAAAAACUCACCUUUGCUGAACUAUUUACCUGUGCGUAUUCGUGUGCUUAUAUUACUUUAUAUUACCUAUAUUACCUACACAUUUUGUUUGAAUUACACUUAUUAAGUAUAGUUUAUGACAAGGCAUAUUAAAAAAUAAAAAAAAUAAUUAAUAAUAUAUCCACUAAUUUAUUUGACCAAAUAAAUAAUAUAAUAUAAUGUAUUAUAAUGUUAAACUUUGUUUAAUAUUAAUUUAAAUUGUAUCAUGAUUAUUAUUUUUUCAAACAAUCAAUAUUUGAAAAAAAACAAUUAUCAUGUAUUACAAUUAUAGGUGAAUAAUAUUUGGUCACAAAUGUGAGGGCGGAAGGCGUGGUAUUUUCAUCAAUUUUACUUUAUUCAUUAGCAAAAUUAUUCAUGCUUUAUGCUUCAAAAUACUGCUUACCUUUUUCUACUUUUGACACCAAUGUAUGUUCAACAUUUUUUUUGAUAAUACAAAAAUAAUAACGAAAAGAAAAAUAGACCAUGUUUAUUUAUUUCUACUAUUGGUAGCUAAUAAUAAUAAUAAUAAAAAAAAAACUGUAUAUUUUGUGUAAUAUAGAUAAAAAUGAAUUCUUAUGUUUCUCAAAUGCAAUGCUGGGUAAGUUAAUGAUAUUUUAAAAUUCAGUUAAGUUAAUUAUUUUUUUUCAACUAAACUAAAAUAUACCAAGUAAUAAGUUAAGUUAACUAAAAAAAAAGAAUCAUUAAUAAGGUAUUAAAAAUUAAAAUAUCUAAUGAUAGCGAAUGCAGGUAUGAAAUAUUACCUAGGUAUUUUAAAACCUGUGAAGUUGUAGGAUUUAUAGAAUUCUAAUUAUUAUUCAAACUCAGGGAUCAUUUAAAUUAAAAUUUGAGUGUAAAAGUGGUUACUGAAUUAUAUAACAUCAAUCAUUUAUUAAUUAACAAAACAAAUAAUUUAAAUAAAUACAUACAAAAAACCUACCAAUUAGUUAUAAACAUGUAUUUAAAAUAUUUAUUAAAUUUUAAUAACAAAUAGGUAGUACCCAAGUAUACCUAAGUAGAUAUUAUGAAUAUGAUUCGUGGACUCUUGACUAUUUAUGUCUUUAUUAUUACGAUUAAUUAGUUUUUAUCUGUAAAUAUAAAAAUGAAAUUCUUCGUAAAUAUAUAUAUAUUUUUUUUAAUAAUAUUUUAUGGUUUUUCACAUUCUAGUUAUUUUUAAAUCUAUGAACUAAUAAUAUUUUAAACGGACAACGGUAAUAAGUAAAAUAUUUUUCUAGAUAAAAUAAAAAUUCUAAAUUAACUUAAUUGGGAAUAAUUAAAAAUAAUGUAAGUUAAUUUUAAGUUCUUGUAUAAGCACAUGAGUUAAUUUAAAGUUAAGUUCAUUAAAAUAUCAAACUAAUUAGUUAAGUUAAUAAGUUGAAAUCAACUGAACCUUUAAUUUCUUAACACGUUAAUGGUUUGCUCAAACGAAUUAAUAAAGUAUUAAAAUAUUCCUCGGCUUAAAAACAUUCUGAGAGGUUUGACAAAUUUUGGUGAGCUUAGGUUUCCUAAACCCCUCUGAUAAACACCUAUGUACCUAUACAAGUAUGUAAACAUACCUUUACAGUAAACUUAAUACUUUUUUUUUGUUAUUCAAUCCAUAGUGUGGUCUAUAAUAAAAUAUAUUCUUUCCAUGAUUCUCUUGCGUGCGCCUUAUCAUUGAAUUGUUUAUACGAAUCGACUCUUGCAUCUUUAAUUAUUUGACUUAUGUAACACGUUCUUGGUCUUCCUCUUUUACGUUUCCCUUCUAUCAUGCCUUCUAGUAUAAAACUAUGGAGUUCUUUGUUAUGCCUUAGCGUAUGCCAGCUCAUGUUAUCGCCUCAUCUUAAAUUGCAAAGUUUUCUUUUAUUUUACUAAAUCUAACACUUCUUUGUUUGUUUUCAUUCCUAUUCAUUUUAUUUUAUGUAUUUCCUUACAGCACCAUAUUUCCAAAGCCUCUAAAGUGUUUUCAUUUUUCUUGUUUAACGUCCAAGUUUCGCUAUCAUAUAAUGCUAUACUCCAAAUAUAUGUUUUAAUUAAAUUUUUUCUUGUUUCUAAGUCUACAUUUUUAAUAGUUUACUUUUAAGUUGGAAUGCCUUUUUGCCUGUCCUAUUCUGCUUUUUGUUUCUUUUACUAAUUUUUUAUCGCUGCUUAUUAUGCUUCCUAAAUAUUUAAAUUGUUCCACUUGCUCUAUUCCGUUUCCUUUAAUGUUUGGUUCAUUCUAUUUUCUGCAUAUUUGUUUUUAUCGUGUUUAUAUUUAAUCUCAAUGUUAAAAACAUAUUAUCCAUUUUAAUAAGCUUUGUUUGUAGACUUUUUUUAGACGUAAGGAACAAAACAACUAAAUCAUUCGCGAAUCAUAUUAUUGAUACUAAGAUUCUUCUUAUUAUUACUCCCAUCCUUUUCUCUUCUAGUUUUGAUUGUAUAUCCAUUAUUGUAUGUUCAAUGUAGUCAUUCAAUAAUUAGGGUGACUUAUUAGUUAUUAGUUAUUAUACAGAUAUCAGAUAUGCUAUAGUUAUUUUACAUAGUAUUUUGUUUGUUAUUAUGACUAAAAAAACUUUGUAUAUUAUGUAUUGUAAUAAUUAAUUUGAUAAAGAUAAAAGAUACCUAUACAUAGCAAUGUUUUGAUCUUCUUAAUAGCAUUCGGGUUACACAUGGGAGAGUUACACAAAUGUAUUUUAAGACAACUCACCGACCAUUUAUAUGGAGUUUCAAUUUUGGUCUUCGACCAUCCGGGAAAAUACUAACACAGUCUAUUGACUUCCUAAUAAUAUAAUAUCCGAGUUCGGAUAGUCUUCAGGAUCACCUACCAGAAACCAAAUGAGAACUGUCCUUAUGUACGCAAAUACCCUGAAAAGUUCGAAAAUCCAGAAUAAAAAAAAUUGCGGAAUAUAUUCGUGGAAAUUGAACCACGGAUCUUAACUUCACUUGACCUAAAACACCUAACGCCUAAUCACAAGAAUACUAGACUAUCUACUUAUUGAGUUAUAAAGCAUACUUUAAAACUGUAUCAGAUUUGGUAUACACAUCUAGAUUUCAAAAAGUUUAUGUGGUUAAUGUAUAGGUUAGUUGGUAACUUAAUAAUUAAUCUAAAAAACCAUAUGAAUGUAACAUAAAUAUUUACCUAUUAUUUCUAAUAAAUAUAUAAAUUACGAUGGGUGCCCUCUGGGAUUAGGUCAUAAUGAACAUUUUUUCAAAAAAGGAAUACGGUGAUUGGGUCAUUUAAAUUUUAUAUUUAUGACAGGUAGAUCCGGUGGUUAGGCUAUUGUAUUCAACUAUUUUAUUAUUAUAUUAGACGUAUUAUUACGUUUUUAAUACCUACCAAUUCCCAAUGAAAUUGCUUAGUAAAAUGAAUUAGUCAUUUUUUGUACUAAGGUAUGCUUUUUUUACCUUAACCAUUGCGGCUUUUUGAAAAUCAUUUUUUUGCAUUUUUUUUAAAAAUGGCUCAUUUACAUGUAAAGGUUCCUGACCACUGUGUUUAAUACAUAGUAGAUAAAAUGUGAUACAAUUACCGAUUACCUAUUCAAAUUUAUUUAGAUGAUUUAAUUAUUUAAAUACUGACUCAGAUAAUACCUGAAAUAACUUAUCUUUUAUUUAUGUAGAUAAUAUAAAAAUAUAUCUAUUUAGAUAAUUCAUAUAGAUAAAACAAAACACUAUCUGAUUUUUCGAAAAAUUACUUUUUAAUAGAUCGUUGUACAAAAAAAAAAAAAAAAAAACCCGUAUUUUAAGUUUACUAUGGAGUUUCUAUCAUAGUUUGUCAUCGUGAUACUCAAAAUUAAAUGUUUAUCAAUAGUCAAAAAAUAGUGAUUAUUUCCUUUUCUAUAAAAUAAAUAUAACAUUUUUAAAGUAAAUUAUUAUUUGAGAGAAAAAAGGUUUCCAUCUAAUGAUAUUAAUAUUUUGAAAAUAAAAAGGUCCUGUAUUAAAAAUUGUACAGUAAAAUUAAUAACACAAUAACAUGAACAAAUCUUAUAAAAGGUUCUCUAUCAAAACAUUUAUUUUGAAAAGGUUCUCUCGGGAAGUACUAAAUUAUUUUAUUUGACACUUUUAUUUUAUGUAUCAAUACAAAAUUAUUGAUUUGAUUUAUGAUGAUCGAAAUCUAUUUUAAUUAAAGAGCACACUUUGUUUUUCGCCUUAUCAGAUUUAAAAUUAAAUAAUAGCAUUUGGUGUCAAAAAUGCAUUUUAAAAUUAUAAUAUGAUUUUCCUGAACAAUUUUAAACAGUGACUAAGAACUUUUUCAUUGUUAAAUGAUAUACUUUUAUACUCUAUGUACGUAGGUAAUUACGUAUGUUAUGUUUAUAUUUAUGAAAUUCUAAAAUAUGAUAAUGCAAAUAACUCUACUAUAACAGCUAUGAUUUGAAUUAGUUUAAUAUAAAAUUAAUUUAUAAUAUUAAAAUACUUUAGUUUGAGAUUUUCCGAAUAAACUAACGAAAUGCCAUUUAUUUACGGAUAGAAUAAAUUAGUAAAUAUUAUAAUUAUUAAUAUAAAUUGGUCUCCUAAAAAUAUUUUAUAAAUGAAAUUAAUUAAUCGGAAAUAAAUAAAAUACCGUAUUGCAUUAUAAGAUUGCAUAAAUUAACUAAAAUUAAAUAGUUUUAAAUUAUUUUAUAUUUAUUAUUUAUAUUAUUUUUUAGAGUUAUUUUUGAUUUUAUUCUUUCUACAAUCGAUGGCGAUUUUUAAUUUACAUGCCACAUAGGUAUAUUAUUUUAGGUACAUAACUACAUGUAGUACACUACACAAUCAAUAAUCUAUAUUUUUAGAUAAAUAUUAUAGAAAUUUGAAAUAUUACAUGAAUGUACAUAUAACUACUCCUUACCUGUAAUCGUUUGUUUUCCCUAUAUUAUUUGAAUUUUUUGUACCUUUUCAGUCAAUUUUAAAUAAUCAUUAUUUAAAUUAAAUAAGAUGGUAAAUUACAGAAAAAUAAUGCAGCUACAAAAUAUUUAUAUCAGAAUAUAUUUUGUAUUUGGACCGGAGCUAUCGAUUUCAUUGGGUAUGUGAUAUGUGUGUUUUUUUUUGUAUCUUUGAGGAACUUUUUAACCAGAAAUUAUCCUCUGGUGUAUUAAAUGUAGCACAUUUUAUGAAAGGAAAUUUGUUUAAAAAUUAUGAGUAAAAUAACAAAUAUUUAUGGUGCACCGCGGUGAUAUCGAUUUCAUUGUUUUUAAUUUUAAAACUAUGUUUACUUCUAGAAUUUCUUUUUUUUUAAUCGAAAAAUGCAUCGACACUUUUUUUUUGUUAUAUUUUGAAUCUAUUUGCUCACAAAGCAAGUUGGUUUUUUUAUGAUAGUAGUUUUUAUAAUAAUUGGGAAAACCGGAAAAAGGCAAAAAAUAAAAACUGAUAAAUGCGUUAUGAUUCCAUUAUUUUUAAUUUGUAUGGUUUAUGUUUUCUAUUAGGAAUGUUGUUCCUUUUUAGUAAAACAACAGACUUUUUUGUUGAAUUUUCAUUCUAGUUGGUGAGUAAGAAAGUCGUUUUUUGAUUUUCUCAGUAGUUUAUUUUUAAUAAUUGAACAAAACCGAAACAAAUGUAGAAAGAAGAGGAAAAUAUACGAAAAAUAAUUUUUUACUAUUUUCAAUUUUGUUGUAAUUUAAGAGUUUUAAACAUUACGGUCUUUCAAAGCAUUUAUAACCGUAUUUUGCUCCAAAUCGUUUUUCGUUAGCUAUGAUUAAAUAACUUUUUGUAUCCUACCUUCACAACUGACCAUCUACAUCAGUGCACAUCUGUUUCUAGUAUCAGUUCUUUUAUUUUUAUAAUUAUCAGUUUUAUGGAUGUACAAAAAGAUGGAAGGAAUAAUUUACCGAAUAAUAAUAUUUUUUGUUCAUAAAUUACGUUUUCAAAAACUUUUUUUAAAAUUAUAUAAAUUAUAUUAUACUUCAAGUUAUUAUAACUGGAUGAAAAUUUCAAAUAUAAUGUAAAUAAAAAAAAUUGAGUGUAAAUAAUGAUUCCUCAAUUUUUUAGGUUCAUAUAAAGAAAUAAUAACUUUUAACUUCAUUACUAAAUAUAGACAUUUUGUGUAACUAUUGGUUAUUCAUAUACAUAUUUACUUAAAAUAUUAGUAUUUAUUCAAUGGCGUAUCCGAUUAACUUAGUUUUUUAAUUUACCUUUUUCAUCAUACGUAAACGAAUGAAAAUCGUUGUUCAGUAAUUCAUUUAGUGUUCAACGUUUUAAUUCCAUAUUUUUAAUUUUUAAUUAACGACUUAAUUAAUUUACGAUUUAUUACACAAUUGUACGUAAAGAAUACGUGCCGUUCGGUGUCAGGGACUAGAGGUCCGGAAGCUAGCCGCACAUCAAUAUUUUCGAACCAAAUUUUUCCAAAAAUGUGUAAGUCAUUCGUAGGUAUUUAUAAGCAAAUAUUUGAAAAAUGUAAGUCCAGUCGUUUUUAAUUAUCUAAUCAUAUUUAUUUCGCAGCUAACUUCCGUGAAACUUGGCCGUUUUGUCAUUUCCAAAUUUUUCACCCGGCCAAAAUAUUUUACACUAUUUGUAAGUAUUUGUAAGCGCAAAUCCACAAUUUUUAAGUCAUCCGUUCUUGAGUUAUCCCUAAACAAUAGAAGUGGUAAAUAGUGUUUGUUGUUCCACAAUAAUAGUCCAGUCGAAGUGGACAAAAAAACGACAAGUUCGGAACUAAUUCCCCGUUUGCUAAAUUUUGGUACAGAAAUAGUUUAUACUUCAAUUAUAAAUAUAUUAAAAGUCCUGAAAUCUAUCUCUUGUACGUAGCCCCCUAGCCCUUUUGAAAUUGGCAUGCGCUCUUUUCACUGGUUUCGAUUUAUAACUCAAUUGUUAAAGUGACAAUACAAAUCUUAUGAUCAAAAUUAAUGAUCAUACAAUUUACUAUAGAAUAAACUUACUUUAAAUAUUUGUAUAUUUCAGUUAGUUUAGGUUCAGUAUCAAUACAAAUAGUUCAAUAUAAUGCUAAUAUUUAAAAAGUGAAAAUAAAGAAAGUUGGAGAUAAAUUGUAUUUUUAUUUUUCUACAAUUUAUACAAUUAUAAUAUCUAAAGCAAUGAUAUAUCACUGAAUUCAAAUUAAUUUAAUUUAAUUUCUUUGCAGUUCUCCAACUCUACACUACACAGCCUAGCAGUACUCACUUGCCAACUUUUUAUUCAUUGAUAAUUUUUACAUUUAACAUAUUGUUUACAUAUCUGUAAGAUUAGGUCUAUUUUGAUAGUUAAAAAUCACGAACAUUUUAAUAUAUUGUGUAAAACUAAAUCACUAUAGUAGGUGAGAAUGAAAUUGUACUAUUAUUACUUUUAUUAUUUAACAAUUAUAUGAUUAUAUGAUUAUGACUAGUUAAAUGAACAGAAUAAUAAUAAAAUUAUUAAAAAUGAUUCAAAUUCUGAAAAUGCAGAGUAAUAGAGAAAUGCGAUUUUCCAUCGUGUUUUUGGAAAAAAAUAAAGUUACUAUACACAUUAAUGAUAGUAAAAUAUGAAAAAAAACUUUUAUAUUUAAAUUAAACCCUACCGUUGUUUUAGUGUCAAUGUCAACAGAAAACUCACAUAAAACUGGUUAGUAUCUAUAUAAAAUGAACUAUAAAUAAUUAAUUUAUAAUCAACUUGCCAGAGUGUACAAUUUUAAAUUUAUGUUUACAAAUCCUUACAAAUUUCAUAAGACAAUUUGCCAUGGUCAAAGUUCAGGAAACCCGAUAAAGCACAGCUAACUUCUUUUUAAGGAUAAAUACGUUCUUUAGAAUGACUUACAAAUUUUAAAUUCAUGCUUACAAAUACUUAAAUAAUGUAAAACAUUUUGACCUGGUCAAAAUGGAACAAUGGGUAGAUAUCAGGACUUUUAGUAUAUAUUAAUUUGUGAAAUAUAAAAUACUUCUGUACCAAAAUUUAGCUAAUGGGGAAUAAAUUCCGAACUUUGUCGUUUCUUUGUCCAAGUUGUCUGGACUAUUAUUGUGGAACAACAAACACUAUUGAUUACCACUACUUUUCAGGGAUAACUCAUGAAGGAAUAACUUAAAAAUUGUGGGUUUGCGCUUACAAAUACUUACAAAUAGUGUAAAAUAUUUUAGCCGGGUGAAAAAUUUGGAAAUGACAAAACGGCCAAGUUUCGCGGAAGUUAGCUGAGAAAUAAAUAUGAGUAGAUAAUUAAAAACGACUGGACUUACAAAUUUCAAAUAUUUGCUUAUAAAUACUUACGAAUCACUUACACAUUUUUGAGGAAAUUUGGUUCGAAAAUAUUGAUGUUGUGAGGCUAACUUCACGGACCUAAAGACUAGUUUCUCGGACUCCAUAUAAAACCAUUAUCACUGUGUGAUCUCCUUCCCCCCGAAAUUUUAUUUACCUCCUAUCUAUUAAAAUAGAGACUGUCGAUCAACCGUCUUAUUCGUUUUACUACCGCGUAGUCCGUCGUUAUUGCUAAUUUCGAAAAUAAAUCAGUACGUUUAAUAUGCAUUAAUUUAUACGCAUACUCACACUACGAUGAAGAGAAUAUUUUAUAUACACAAUAUAAUAUUAUAUAAUAUAUAUAUAUAAAGUAAAUACAGUUAACAAAGUAGAUGUACACAUGAAUUAUAUAAAUAAUUGAAAAUAUUUAAAAAAUUGAUUUUCUUUUUUCAUGUUAUAAUUAUUGGGGAGACGCCGUCUCAAAGUUUCCCCUUACGCACCGCUUCUGCUGGUGAAUAUGAUCUCCUUUUUUCGCUUGAUUUUCACUAUAUGCCUUAUAUGCAUUUUCAAUAUCGCCGCCCCUCCCCUCCAGUAAUCUUGUUCUGGAUUAACCCCUGUAUAGGGAACUGACUGUGUCUUUUCGUUUUCUUAUUAUGUAUAGUAAAAUAAUUUCAAAGGUUUCUUCAAUGUUAAUUUAAUCGAUUAUCAUUAACUAUGGAAUGUUAUAUUAUCAAGUUCGAUUAGAUAUUAAAAAAUCGAAUAUUAUUAAAUUAGAAUACCGAUUAAUUUGUUUUCGUUUUCUAAACAAAUUAUUAUACUUGUUAUGUACAUUGAUAAUGGUUUUAUUAUACAAUAAAAUUAUGUUUUUUUUUUUUCAAAGUUGUAUAUUCAGUACAUGUAUAUUGUAUAGUAAUGGAAUUUAAUUUUUUACAGGUUCGACAACUAACGAUAUGAAAAUGGUGGUGAUUUUUAAAUAAUUUGUGCGUAUAAUUUUUGUUAAUUAAUUUUUUUUUUGUUUAAUAAUAAGUUUUAAGUGUGGUGAUAUUAGAUUUAGACGGGUUAAUUUUUGUAACGCUGGUAAAUAUUUUUUUACAUUUUUAUCGAUAUGUUAACUAUAAUGCAAUUGAAGUUCGUAAUGCUAUGGGUGGUGACAUUUCAAUGGAUCUCCAAUACAG